CUACCGUGCGCUGGAUUAUGACUGAACGCCUCUAAGUCAGAAUCCGGGCCAGAAGCGACGCGUUGUCCGCCGCUCGUUUGCCGACCAGCAGUAGGGGCCCUCCGGCCCCCAAAGGCACGUGUCGUUGGCUAAGCCCUCGCGGCGGACGAGCCGCGCGGGCCGCCUUGAAUUACAAUUCCACCGGGCGGCGGACUGAAUCCUUUGCAGACGACUUAAAUACGCGACGGGGUAUUGUAAGUGGCAGAGUGGCCUUGCUGCCACGAUCCACUGAGAUUCAGCCCUUCGUCGCUCCGAUUCGU
rnacentral:ncRNA from 1 species